GAGGUGAUGUUGUUAUAGGUGAAGUUAAAUGUGGACAGGAUUUUUCACGCGAUGAAACGUCAUGUCCGGGUACGGUCGCAGGCAGACGGAGGCAAUUUAAGGGGGUAGGUCUUUAGAGGAGCGGAGGGGAUCGGAGGGGAGGGGGAGGUUAGGCUCUUUGUUACCGCCUUAGGGAGCACCCGCCAAGGUGGGGAGAGGGGCAGACUUCGCAUGAACACAGAGUCGAGCUAAGGCACGGCACGGACGGGCUCUUAGACACCGGCCGCCGUCUAAACCAGCGGUUCAAGGCUCGAAAGGGCAGCCCGACCACGAAGCCCUGUGUUAGGGUCUAGCAAAACCGAGGCCUACUUCCGAAGAAGCGGCGUGCAGGCGACUAGGCUUCGCCUUAACCGCCGGGAGGUUGGCAGCGGCGGACUAUCCACGGGUGGACCUUCCGUAACUCCCGACUGCGGCUUGUUCAAGACUUUGAAAAGGCACGGGACCUCCGACCUCGUUAGACAGCAGCUUAGCGAACCGUUAGCCGACGCCGAACCUCGCGUCUACCCCCGCCCCCGAAGCUCGGACCUCCCCAGCCUCCCCACCCCAGUCUGCAGCGACCCGCUGUACGGCCUCUCGACGCACCGCGGCCACGACGAGAUGGAGCUGGGCGGCCUCUAUACGGAGCAGCGGGCGGAGUUGGCCCGCAAGGCGCCGCGCCGGAGGCGGCUGACGCAGACCCGGUGGUUCGAAGGGCGGUUGAUGGCCAUGGAGCGGCGGGAGCGGCGCCGCCGGCUGCUGCUAUCGUCGUCGCUGCCGAGCCACCUCCCGUUACCAUCCACGAGGAGGAGGCACCGCUGGUUCUUCCUCUUCAUGCGCGCGGACACGUCCGGUUGGGGGAAGCUAUCCCCGUGGUUCCUUAAAACCUAGGUUUUCUCGUUCCCACCAGAAACGUACAGGUAGAGGAGUUUCCGAAACCGCUAAUGGCCAUAGCUACUAGCCGCCAUAACCUCGGUGGAAUGGUGUCUACUCAGCUCUAAGGUAUCACAACGGAUGGAAGUCGUUUAUACCACCGACCUCCACCGACCCCUCUAACUAAAGACGAAGGGACGACCAAGUAUAUCGGAAGAGAAGGCCGAGGUGAACCCGGCCGGUGUGUUCGCGUACCCGGCCGCCCAGAUACUGAGACUCGAGUAGAUGCCAACCCUGUAAUUUGGCUGUGCCAAAGUCGAGAGUUGAAGUCUACCGGUCGUGUGUUGUAGGCUGAUGGUAGAUCUACCGGGUCCUGUGACCUAGGAAAUGGUACAGCCACUAAAACAGUAAAGCUCAAGCCUACUCAACUGGUUCGAGUUCAAGAGAUACUACGUCUAACUAACGUGCGUAUGUUUUCCACCGGAUACACAGCUGAGACAAAAGUAAAUAGGAUUCCUAGUAGUCGGGCUCCUCACGUAUGCGUUCAUUAAAACGUUUGGACGACAUAGUGAGGUACACCGUUAGCUAUCCGCCACGGAUCGGAAAAAGUAUCGGUAAGAACAGGUUUUGGGCAACAUUUAUAAGAAGUAAAAAGAUUACCAAAACGUACCUGGACCUCAGUACAAUACAUAAGAAACAUCACUAUCAAUUUAUUCAACCGGAGUCCUCCUAAAUCUACAUCCACCACUACAUACUAAUCUCACCAUCCACAAGUAGACAUCUUUCUCGUCAAAGUAAACAAGCAGUAACAACAUCACUACAAAAACAUUUAUGUAAAAGGACCUAGGACAGAGAUGAAGCAACUUGGAUCAAUAAAGAGUUGUGAAUA
rnacentral:rRNA from 1 species